AGAGCAUACAGCGAAUGCCUUGGGAGUAGAUGCCGAUGAAGGACGUGGUACACUGCGAUAAGUGUGGAUAAGGUGUGUGCAACCGUUAACAGUCCACAAUGUCCGAAUGGAACAAUCCAACUAAGAUAAUACUUAGUAGAACUGGAGUAGUAUCCAGAAUGCGGCAACCUGCUGAAGUGAAACAUCUCAGUAAGCAGAGGAAAAAAGACAGACAUGUAAUUCCCCUAGUAGUGGCGAGCGAACGGGGAGAAGCCAAAAACCUAUGUAGUUUUUUUAGUUGAUGACUAAGUUUUCUUCGGAAAACCCAAAAUUGACUAAAAACCCGGUCAGGGGCAUAAACGCAUUAAGGGGUUGUGGGAAAUUAUGUUCUAACCUGAUUGUUAGAGAAUUGGUCUACAAAUUUAUUAAUCAGCAAAAUUACUUGGAAAAGUAAGCAAAAUUGGGUGAUAGCCCCGUAUGCUAAAAUUAGUAAAUACCAGUUGAUAAUUAUCCCAAGUACAACAAAAGCAUCGAGAAGUUUUGUUGGAAUCAUCCGUGACUACGCGGAAAGGCUAAAUACAUCUACUCACCGAUAGUGAACAAGUACAGUGAUGGAAAGGUGAAAAGUACUCCGGAUAGGAGAAUGAAAUAGUCCCUGAAACUGUAUGCUUACAAUGAGUGGAAGUGGGUAUUUAUAUCCAUAACCACGUGCCUAUUGAAGAAUGAUCUAACGAGUUAGCACUGCAAGGCAAGGUUAAAAUCGAGAGUGAUUGUAGCCGCUAGUGAAAGCGAGGGUUAACUGCCCGUUUUAGUCUUGUGGUCUAUACCCGAAACCCAGUGAGCUACCCAUGAGCAGAUUGAGAAUAGUGUAAAAACUAUUGGAGGAUCGUACCGUUAAGGGCUGCAAACCUUUCGGAUGACUUGUGGGUAGAGGAGAAAUUCCAAUCGAACUGGGUAAUAGCUGGUUCUCGCUGAAAUGCCUUUAGAGGCAGCGUUAAUUAAAAACUUGUGGGAGGUAGAGCUACUGAAAGAGUAGUGGGGGUAACUUCAUUAUUCUAAUAAACUCCAAAUUCCUGCGUAGUGUUCAUUAACAGUGAGACGGUGGGAUCUAAGUUUCAUCGUCAAGAGGGGAAGAGCCCAGAUCGUCGUUUAAGGCCCCUAAAUCUAUGCUAUAGUGUAAAAGAGGUGGGAUUGCUCAUACAACCAGGAGGUUGGCUUAGAAGCAGCCAUCCUUUAAAGAAAGCGUAACAGCUCACUGGUCAAGCGAUCCUGCGCUGACAAUGUAUGGGACUCAAGCAUAGUGCCGAAAACACGAAAUUUAACUAUAAUUUAUUAUUUUUAAAUUGGUAAGCGAGCGUUCUAUAACCACUGAAGCAUAAGAGGUAACUCAGUGUGGAGGUUAUAGAAGUGAGAAUGUUAGAAUAAGUAACAAAUGAUGUAAAGUGAAAAACUUUACCACCAAAAAUUCAAGGUUUCCUACGCUACGGUUUUCGUCGUAGGGUAAGUCGAGCCUUAGAGGUAUUUCUAAUGGAAUGCCUUGAUGGACAUAUGGUUAAAAUUCCAUAACUAAAUAAAGAUGUGAUGAAUAACAUAAUCUGGUAAGCUUAGCGGUUUUUGGCUAUUGCCGUUGGUAUUUUUAGGUAAUUGUCUAAUAAAAAAUUUGUUAGACUUGAUAAGUGUUCCAAUAGGAAAAUACUAUCUUACUGAGAAAUAACAAAAUGUGCUUGCAUAAAUUAGGCUGAUCCAAGUUAUCAAGAAAAAAUUCUAAACUUAGUUUUUAUUUAUCCGUACCGCAAACCAACAAAGGUGAAUGAGUAGAGAAUACUAAGGUGAACGGGAUAACAAUAGGUUAGGGAACUCGGCAAAAAAUCGGUCGUAACUUCGGAAUAAGACCUGCCCGCAAGGGUUGCAACAAAAGACUUGGAACUGACUGUUUAACAAAAACUUAGCUCCGUGCUAACUCCAAAAGAGGAUGUAUACGGGGUGAUGCCUGGCCAGUGUCGGAAGGUCAAACAGAGUGGCGCAAGCUACUUUGCCAAGCCCCGAUGAACGCCGGCAGUAACUAUAACUGUCCUAUGGUAGCGAAAUUCCUUGGCACAUAAGUAGUGUCCCGCACGAAUGGCAUAACAAGUUCCAAACUGUCCCAACCAUUGACCCGGUGAAUUUACAAAGGGAGUGAAGAUGCUCUCUACCCGCACUAAGACGAAAAGACCCUAUGAAGCUUUACUAUAGGUUGUUGUUGUUAUUUAAUUUUACUUGCUCAGAAUAGCUGGGAAACUUUGAAACUUAGAUUUCGGUCUAAUGGAGUUACCGUUGAGAUACCAGCCUAGUAUUAUUAAAUAACUUACUUGAGCGUAACUAGCUCGAGGACAGCGGCUGCCGGGUAGUUUAACUGGGGCGGUUGCCUCCUAAAUUGUAACGGAGGCGUCUAAAGGUUGGCUUAGCCUGGAUGGAAAUCAGGCUUUAAAGUACAAAAGCAUAAGCCAGCUUAACUGCAAAACUUACACGUUGCGCAGAUGCGAAAGCAGAGUUUAGUGAUCCGAUGCGUUCAUGUGGAUGACGCAAAGCUCAACGGAUAAAAGUUACUCUAGGGAUAACAGGCUGAUCCUACCCAAGCGCUCACAGCGACGGUAGGGUUUGGCACCUCGAUGUCGGCUCGUCUUUUCCUGGGGGUGAAAUAGCUCCCAAGGGUUGUUCUGUUCGCACAUUAAAAAGGCACGCGAGCUGGGUUCAAAACGUCGUGAGACAGUUUGGUCUCUAUCUAGUGUGGGCGCGCGAAAAUUGAAAAGGCAGGUCUCUAGUACGAGAGGACCGAGAUCUAUGUGCCUCUGGUGUAUCGGCUGUUCUGCCAAGAGCAUUGUCGAGUAGCUAUGCAUAGUUAAGAUAACCGCUGAAAGCAUAUAAGCGGGAAGCUGUCUUUAAGAUUAAUUUUCGUUAUAGUAGUAAUACUAUUUUAGGUUCCUUCAAGAUCAGGAGGUAAAUAGGUCACAGAUAUAAGUGUAGUAAUACAUUAAGUCGAGUGAUACUAAUCAACCAAAUUUUAAUUU
rnacentral:rRNA from 1 species